rnacentral:rRNA from 1 species
GACAGAGGAGCCAAGCGUUGUCCGGAUUGACUGGGCGGUAAAGCGCACGCAGGCGGCUCAGCGCGUGGGGUGUGGAAAGGUGGCGGCUCAACUGCCACACGGCCAUCCCAUACGGCUGGGCUCGAGCCAUGCAGAGGUCCACGGAAAUUGCCGGUGUAGUGGUGAAAUGCGUAGAGAUCGGCAGGAACACCUAGGGGGAAACCGAGUGGGACUG